AAAUUCUUAAAGGUUUUAUUAUUUUACAAAAAGAUGGACAAAACUUCGAUUAUGGCACUUUUUGUUGUUGCUUUCUUCAUUGCUUCUUGUGAUGUGGCGACAGGCAUAAGAAAAUGUAGCACAACAGAAGAUUGUAACAGUCAUCAAGAUAUGUUUCCAAAAUGUAUUUGUGUUGAUGGAACAUGUGUAUGCAGCUCACUCAACACACAUUCUAUUGAUCAUGAAGAUAGUGGUUCAAGUGGCAAGUAUUAACCUUGAAAAAAUUAUAUUGAAAAUGUCUCAUUUGGUAUUGUUUACAUGAUGAAACAUUUGCAAUAAAAUAUUUAGUUGGUUGCAUCAUGA